GAUGAACACUAGCGGCAGGCUUAAUACAUGCAAGUCGAGGGGUAGCAAGAUUGUAGCAAUACAAUUGUUGACGACCGGCAAACGGGUGCGGAACACGUACACAACCUUCCUACAAGUGGGGAAUAGCCCAGAGAAAUUUGGAUUAAUACCCCGUAACAUAGCGAUGUGGCAUCACAUUGCUAUUAUAGCUUCGGCGCUUGUUGAUGGGUGUGCGGCUGAUUAGAUAGUUGGCGGGGUAACGGCCCACCAAGUCUACGAUCAGUAGCUGAUGUGAGAGCAUUAUCAGCCACACGGGCACUGAGACACGGGCCCGACUCCUACGGGAGGCAGCAGUAAGGAAUAUUGGACAAUGGACGCAAGUCUGAUCCAGCCAUGCCGCGUGAAGGAUUAAGGUCCUCUGGAUUGUAAACUUCUUUUAUAAGGGACGAAAAAAGGUCUUUCUAGAUCGUCUGACGGUACCUUAUGAAUAAGCACCGGCUAACUCCGUGCCAGCCGCCGCGGUAAAAC
rnacentral:rRNA from 1 species